AUGAAAUAUGAAUGUUCGGACCUA
rnacentral:siRNA from 1 species